AACGAACGCUGGCGGCAUGCCUAACACAUGCAAGUCGAACGAGACCUUCGGGUCUAGUGGCGCACGGGUGCGUAACGCGUGGGAACCUGCCCUUAGGUUCGGAAUAACUCCCCGAAAGGGGUGCUAAUACCGGAUAAUGUCUUCGGACCAAAGAUUUAUCGCCUUUGGAUGGGCCCGCGUUGGAUUAGCUAGUUGGUAGGGUAAAAGCCUACCAAGGCGACGAUCCAUAGCUGGUCUGAGAGGAUGAUCAGCCACACUGGGACUGAGACACGGCCCAGACCGCGGGGGGGGGGAGUGGUGGAAGAGGUGGGAGAGUGGGCGAAGGCGGAUUCAAGAAAGGCGGGGGUGGUGAUGAAUGCUUGAGGGUUUAAAAGCUCUUUUACAGGGGAUGAAAACGACAGUACCGGGAAAAUACGCCCCGCCAAGCCCAGUGCCAGCAGCCGCGGUAACACGCGGAAGAGCACACUGCUAAAC
rnacentral:rRNA from 1 species